GAUGAACGCUGGCGGCGUGCUUAACACAUGCAAGUCGAACGAUGAAGCUCAGCUUGCUGGGUGGAUUAGUGGCGAACGGGUGAGUAACACGUGAGUAACCUGCCCUUAACUCUGGGAUAAGCCUGGGAAACUGGGUCUAAUACCGGAUAGGAGCGUCCACCGCAUGGUGGGUGUUGGAAAGAUUUAUCGGUUUUGGAUGGACUCGCGGCCUAUCAGCUUGUUGGUGAGGUAAUGGCUCACCAAGGCGACGACGGGUAGCCGGCCUGAGAGGGUGACCGGCCACACUGGGACUGAGACACGGCCCAGACUCCUACGGGAGGCAGCAGUGGGGAAUAUUGUACAAUGGGCGCAAGCCUGAUGCAGCGACGCCGCGUGAGGGAUGACGGCCUUCGGGUUGUAAACCUCUUUCAGUAGGGAAGAAGCGAAAGUGACGGUACCUGCAGAAGAAGCACCGGCUAACUACGUG
rnacentral:rRNA from 1 species